CAUUAAUGCUGUCACCAUCCAGAGCUCUGUGCAACAUUGAUCCAAUCCUUUAUUAAUCGGAAGAGAAAAAGGACGAACUAUUAGCAAACGUGUGAAUAAACAUAUAAAAAGUAGGAGCUACUGAGAAAAAAAAGACUUCAGACACUUCACCAAAGUCGACGGUCAUUCAAGAUGCAGUUGUUGCUUUUACUUGUGGUACUGGGAACAGUAUCUGCUGGAGUUCAAGAUCUUUCUGGCAAAAUGUUUACCUUCCCACAGUUAACUAACUCAGCUCA